rnacentral:lncRNA from 1 species
UUCGUCAAUCUCGUUGUUGGUUUCGUAGUCAACAUUGCUAUGGGGUUCGCAUCUUCUAUUUACUCACUUUAAAUUGAGUAACUAUUUCCCUCCCUUUCCUGCUAGGAUUGGAAAUCCUGUAUUUUACAUAUCCAUACGAUUGAGUCCUUCGGUUUCCAAAAUAAUGUAAAAAGAAGUGCUUCGAAUCAUUGCUAUUUUACUCGGAUCUAUUCUCAAAAAGUCGAGGUUUUUCAAAUUGUUUGUUGACAUGGAUAAAGUCAAGGAAACCUCUAAAAUUAUUUCCAUAAUGAACCUUGGACAUGUAAGAGUUCUGAAUCGAAUCUCGUUAGAAAGAAGAUCUUUUGUCUCAUGAUAGCCUGUUCCAGUUCCCUUACGAAAUUUUCGUUAUUGGGUUAGCCAUACACUUCACAUGUUUCUAGCAAUUCACAUGGCAUCAUCAAAUGAUACAAGUCUUAGAUAAGAAUCUAUAACGCACUAGAAUGCCCUUGUUAAUGAUCUUUUAGUCCGACAGCAUCUAGGGUUCCUCGAACAAUGUGAUAACUUACACCGGGUAAAUCCUUAACCCUUCUCCCUCUUACUAAGACUGAAGAAUGUUCUUGUAAAUUAUGUUCAAUAUUGGGUAUAUAAGCAGUCAUUUCAAAUCCAGAGGUUAAUCGUACUCUGGCAACUUUACUUAAGGCAGAGUUUGGUUUUUUUUGGUUGAUAGUAGAAAAGUUGACAGAUAAGUCACCCUUAUUGCCCCUCUAUAGAACCGUACAUGAUAUUUUCACCUCAUAUGGCUCCUCGUUCAAUUCUCUCGAAUUCAUUGGAUCCUUUUCCGUGUUCAAGAAUCCCCUCCCUUCUUCAACUCUGUCCCGAAGAGUAACUAAGACCAUUUAGUCACAUUUUCAUGUUCCAAUUGAACACUUUCCAUUUUUGAUUAUUUUCAAAAGAGAAGAUUAUUCUCUUUACCAAAACAUAUGUGGAUCCAAUCACGAUCCUAUAAUAAGAACAAGAGAUCUUUCUCGAUCUAUCCCUUUGCCCCUUAUUCUUCGAGAAUUACAAAGAUCCUUUUCAAGUUUGAAUUUGUUCAUCGGGAAUCUGAGUUCUUCUACUUCAUUCUUUAUUUAAUAUUUUUCCAUCUCUUUUUUUUUAAAUCAUUCCUUAAGUCUCAUAGGUUCGAUCCUAUAGAAUUUGACCCAUUUUCUCAUUCAACGAAGGGUACGAAACCAAUUUGAUUAUUUUUUCUAUCAAAAGUACUAUGUGAAAUCUUCAAUUUUUUCCUCUUCCUCUAUCCCUAUCCCACAGGUAUAGUGUUUGAAUCGAUAGAGAACCUUUUCUUCUGUAUGAAUCAAUCUUAUUCCAUUCCAAUUCCUUCCCUAUACCUCCGAAGGAAAAUAUCGAAUGGAUCCCAAAUUGGCAGAUUAGUGUGAGCUUAUCCAUGCGAUUAUGCCCUCUUCGAAUAGGAAUCUAUUUUCUGAAAGAUCCUAGCUUUCGUACUUUGGUGGGUCUCCGAGAUCCUUUCGAUAAUCUA